AAUAAAAAAUCUAGCAUAUUUCAGGAAACAUAUCCUAGUUCACCGUCUGUGAGCGUCUCAACUCACAAGCCCUUCUUGGGCCAUCUUUUGCUAAAUUGCUUAACCGAAUUUCUUAAUUUAUUACAUAGGUGCCCCUCCCUCACUGAUCUACGUUUUUCCGUCUGUUUUUCCUCGAGCUGAGAAUUUUCUACAGAUCGUUUCGAAGGCUUGAAGUUACUGAAUUGUCUCUCGGUUUCGUGUCAUAUAAUUCCUGUAAUUCAUGCUCUGUUUUUCCUUCGCCUUCGAUUUUUUUACUUGAUAGCGUUAACAUGUCGGGUCCGCUCGAUCGCUUCGCAAGGCCUUGCUUUGAGGGGUUCUCUGGUCACGACGAAAGGAAAGAGCGGAAAUCAGACUUAGAAAACUCCGAGGAUGACAAGCGGACGAGAAUUGGGAGUCUAAAGAAGAAAGCAAUCAGUGCGUCUAGCAAAUUCAGACACUCUCUUAAGAAGAAGAGCCGGAAGAAGAGUGCUAGCCGCAGUAAUUCUGUUUCGAUUGAGGAUGUGCGGGAUGUUGAGGAGCUGCAGAUCGUAGACGCUUUUCGACAGGCACUUAUCUUGGAGGAAUUGCUUCCUCCGAAACACGAUGAUUACCACAUGUUGUUGAGAUUCUUGAAAGCUAGGAAGUUUGAUAUUGAGAAAGCAAAAAACAUGUGGGCUAACAUGAUUCAAUGGAGGAAAGACUUUGGUACAGACACAAUUUUGGAGGAAUUUGAGUUUUUUGAGUUGAAUGAAGUUCUACAACACUACCCUCAGGGUUACCAUGGUGUAGAUAGGGAGGGAAGGCCUAUAUACAUUGAGAGACUGGGAAAAAUUGAUCCCAACAAGCUUAUGAAAGCAACAACUUUGGAUCGAUAUGUGAGAUACCAUGUACAGGGGUUUGAACGGAGUUUUGCAAUUAGAUUUCCUGCUUGUUCAAUUGCUGCAAAAAGACACAUAGAUUCAAGCACAACAAUUUUAGAUGUUCAAGGAGUGGGUUUUAAAAACCUAACCAAGUCUGCACGAGAACUCAUCACACGGCUGCAGAAGAUUGAUAAUGACAAUUAUCCUGAAACACUUUUCCAAAUGUUCAUAAUUAAUGCUGGCCCUGGUUUUAAGCUGCUCUGGAACACGGUGAAAGCUUUUAUUGAUCCCAGAACAACUACAAAGAUUCAUGUUCUUGGGAAUAAGUACCAAAGCAAAUUACUUGAAAUAAUUGAUGCAAGUGAGUUGCCAGAAUUUCUGGGUGGUAGCUGUACAUGUGCUGAUAAGGGAGGUUGUAUGAGGUCAGAUAAAGGGCCGUGGAAUGAUCCAAACAUAUUAAAGAUGGUUCUCAGUGGUGAAGCACAAUGUUCUAGACAAAUAGUAACUGUUUCAAACAGUGACGGGAAGAUAGUCGAAUGUGACAACACUGACAAGCCACAAUAUAACAUGAUAAGAAGUAGUGACACAUCUACUGCAGAGUCGGGAUCUGAAGUGGACGAAAUUGCUUCUCCUAAAGAAACUAGGAACUAUUCACAACCCAGGUUGACUCCUGUCCGUGAAGAAGUAAGGGUUUGUAAGGCUAGGACUGCUGGUAAGGGGAGCAGUGGUGGUGGUGUCUUGGAGUAUGAUGAAUACAUUCCCAUGAUUGACAAGCCUGUGGAUCUCGAAUGGACGAAACAAAUAUCACUUCAAGAGCCACGUGCUUCUGGAGGGACAAGUUCUCUGUCAAGUACGGAAAAAGCUCCAGAAGGAAUUUUCAGUCGAGUCUGGGCUACACUGGUGGCCUUCUUCAUUACCCUGAUUAGCCUAUUACGUUCAAUGGCAUUCCGCGUGAAUAAGAAACUUCCUGUGACUGCACCUGAUUCUAUCUGCAACAUUCCUGAUCUGAUGGUUGAAUCACCCGAGGAGGAGUUCCGACCCCCGUCCCUUGCUCCACGUUUGACAGAUGCUGACCUGCUGUCUUCUGCCUUGAAAAGACUGGGUGAGCUUGAGGAGAAAGUAGACAUGCUGCAGGCAAAGCCCUUUGAGAUGCCUUACGAGAAAGAGGAGUUGCUGAAUGCUGCUGUUUGUCGUGUGGAUGGAUUGGAAGCCGAGCUCAUUGCGACAAAGAAGGCUCUGCAUGAAGCUUUAAUGAGGCAGGAAGAACUCCUAGCGUACAUAGACAGACAGGAAGAAGCCAAGUUAAGAAAGAAGUCUUGCUGGUGAAAGAGAGACGGCAGCGCACAUUCCACUCGGCUCUCUCCAUUUUUGAAAAAAACCGAAGCAAAUUUCCUCUUAUCUCUUCUUCAUCGAUCACCACGUAAGCAAAUUCUCCCCAUUACGGUCAAUUUUCGCAUUCGAAUCUGAAAACCUUACACUAGUAUAACCUGCCUUCCACUGAACCCUAAUCUCUCUCUCAUUCAGUUUUGAGGUGUGCUCGACCUUCUGAUGAAUCUAAAUUACAGGCUGUGCUCGACCUUCUGAUGAAUCUAUCGCAUUGGCGUUCUCAUUGAUGAUAUAGCAACUUCAAUAUCUUUUCCAAUUUGGUUACCACAGAUAUUUAAGUUCUUAGAAUUUAAGCAGCAAUUAAUAGUCGAAAGUGUCUUUUCCCUUCCCAUAAGUCGUAAGCAAACUGCAACGAUGAUUUGUUCGGUACAGUUUCCUAGUUUCUUUUCUGUUUUUUUAUUUCUGUGGUGAAUCUUUGGUAUUCUUGGCAGCAAUGCUAGAUAAUAUGUAGGCAUGUUGUGUUGUUGGAA